GUUAAAGGGAAUAACUUCUUGAAAAGAGAUGGACCUGCGGCUUAUCAGAUAGUUGGUGGGGUAACGGCCUACCAAGUCUACGACGAGUAGCUGGCCUGAGAAGGUGGUCAGCCAGAGGGGGACUGAGACACGGCCCCCACUCCUACGGGAGGCAGCAAUCAGGAAUAGUCGGCAAUGGACGAAAGUCUGACCGCGCGACACCGCGUGUAGGAAUAAGCUCUAACGAGCGUAAACUACUGUGAUAGAGGAAGAAGACCUCCGAUUUGGAGGUUUGACGGUACUCUAUAAGAAAGGGGCCGCUAACUGCGUGCCAGAAGCGUCGGUAAUACGUGGGCCCCAAACAUUAUCCGGUUUUACUGGGUGUAAAAAGUAGUGUAGGUGUCUUUUUAAGUCUUGUUUUAAAUACUGUGGCUCAACCAUAGGAAAGGGCGAGAUACUAUCAAGAUAGAGUUUGCUUUAGAGAAACUGGAACUCAGGGAGGAGUAGUGAAAUGCGUUGAUACCCUGGGGAACACCAGUGGCGAAGGCGAGUUUCUGAAAGCAGACUGACACUGAGACACGAAAGCUAGGGGAGCGAAGCAGAUUAGAGACCUGCGUAGUCCUAGCCCUAAACGUAUGCUUGCUAGCCGCAUUCUUUGACUUUUGUCGAGGGGUGUAGCGAAGGUAACCCGUUAAGCAAGCCACCUGGGGAGUACGAGUACGGCCGCAAGGUUGAAACUCAAAGGAAUUGGCGGGGAGGCACACAACCAGUGGAACAUGUGGUUCAAUUCGAAACAAACCGAAGAACCUCACCAGGGUUUGACAUGCUAUCGUCCUUNNNNNNNNNNNNNNNNNNNNNNNNNNNNNNGGUCGGGACAGGUGCUGCAUGGCCGUCGUCAGCUCGUUCCGUGAGGAGUGCCCUUAAGUGGGACAACGAGCGCAACCCCUAUCUGCAGUUAAAUUUGUCUG
rnacentral:rRNA from 1 species